rnacentral:lncRNA from 1 species
CCUUGCAGGAUCUGUGUCUGGAGGAGCUGGAAUCCGAGGUCCACACUACCUAACCGGCUGUAUUAGCCCGGGCGGGUCCCGCGACCUCUGAGCCUGAGCUCUUCCGUGCAAAUCGGGCCCAGACCAGGGGCCCUCGCCGGGCUGGGGGGUUAUGGGGAGCACCUGGGCCGCUCUCGGACACCGUGGCGUUCCCAGGACGAGGCCGGGAAAAGCAGGCAGAGCCGAGCAAUGCUGCUUGCCUCCGCCCCGCACCCUGUCAUGGGCAGAACGGGUAAAAGGAAAGACGAGCUGGGGAGGGCUGAAAGAUACGGUUAUAAAUAUCUCUUUUUAUCUGUGACCUUAUCCUGCCCUCCCCAGCCCUUGCGUCCUGGUCCUGUCUUCCAAGAAAGCAGCAGCAGCAGCUUUCUGCGAGGCGUCCGAAACAACCAGUUCUGGGCGGCUCCUCCGCUGAGCUGGCAGGAGUCAGCAGUUAUCUUGGAGAACUAUGCUCGCCACCCUGGGAACAUCCAAUCUGCUGCUCCUGGCGGCUGCAGGAAGCUUGAAUCGAGGCAUCCCCACAUUCAUGCACAGAUAUCCUGGAACAGAGGCCGCCCCCCAUCGUAAAUGACCGUGGCAAAUGUCUGUCUGUGCCUCUGCCUAUGGCUGGGUGAGAAGAUCUUUGAGAGUAUUCACGGAAAAGAAAGGGGGGGCACAGGCCACCCACAUAAGCCCAGCCAUGGAUCCCUGAGCCCUGUCAACUUCUGGCAUCGUCCUCCUAAAUUUUCCAACCUAAGUGUGGUGGAUUAACUAAUGGUCAACCUGGAGCACCCAGCUAAACUGAGCCAGCAUGGUUCUGGGUGUGAAAGACCCACCUGAGGAUUGCUGACAAUAGUUUAAAAAGAGAACUGAAGAGGAAGAUUGUAUGCUGUUGACUUUCCUGGAGCAGCUUGGCACAGCUGGUUUUCUUGAUGUGAACUCGGCUGUUCUCCUCAGCAGAGGAGGAGCUUGGGUCCUCACCAUUGCUGGAUGGCUGUAUUCCCAGGGGAGCUCUGAUCUUUGCCUUGAGUGUGGUUUCCUCGCUGCAGUGCAGAUCUCUUCUCAGCCUGGUGGAACAGACCCUUCACCCUCCCUGCCCAGACUUUUUAGCUCCCACCACUGGCCUUUGGGCCUUCCCAGUGCAGAUCCUCAGUACAGACAAGUAUGAGACAUUGCCUUGGGCUCUCGGUCCUCAGCUGGACUUGGGUGGAACUUUGCCAUGGGAUCCAAGGCCUCGGCUGGAUUCUUCAGGUCUCUACUGUGUGGACAGAUGUCUCGCAUUCCUCUGCAUUUGACUUUUUGAGUCAAUAUUAUAAAAUAAUCCUCUAAAUUAUGUGUCCUGUAUUAAAUCUAGUCCCUUACACACUUUGACUACAACACUAAGUGAUAUAAUUUUUUAGUUUUAAAUGAUAUUAUUAUUGUUGUUGUUGUUACCAUGUGUCACUGGAGAUUGAGCUCAGGGGCACUCUACCACUGAGUUGCAUUCCCAGUCCUUUUUAAAUUCUGAGACAAGACCUAGGUGUGGUGGCACACACCUGUAUUCCUAGAGUUCUGGGAAGCUGAGGCAGGAGGAUCAAAGUCCAAGCCCAGGCUGGGCAACUUAAUAACUUAGUACAUAGUGAGACCCUGUCUCAAAAAAUAAAAAAGAGGCCAGGAGUGUGGAUGGCUCAGUGAAAAGAUACGCUAUGCUGGGAUUACAGAUGUGCACCCUCAUGCCUAUUUCUCCUGUUCAGUAGCUUUUAAAUUUCCCCUUCUGAGACAACUCACAGUGUGGGAAAAAAUUUUUGCCAGCUGUUUCUCAGGAAAAGAACUGUUAUCUAGAAUAUGUAAAGAACUCAAGCUCUCUUCUGUUUCUAUCUGCCAAUGUGUGUGUGCGAUUGCCUCUGAACCUAACCAUGUCUUCUCACAAGACUCAGAAUCAAGCAAUUCCUGGCCAAGAAGCAAAAGCAGAACUGUUUCAUUCCUCUGUGGAUUCGGGUGAAGACUGGUAAUAAGGAGUUGUACUGGAGGAGGACCAAGCUGGGACUGGAAGGAACUGAACAUGAGCUGCACCAUAUUUCUCUCAUGGAAGUCACAAAAUGAUGCAUUCUUUAUCAUGGUUGAGGUUUCAUUACCAUAUCAAGCUUAAAAAGUACCAUUGGCUGGACAGUUGAACAUCCUCAAUCAGGAAUCUUGUUUUGUGAUCACCACUAAUGAGUCAACAAUAAAUGUUUGAAACCUUUUGAAAAAAAAGAACUCAAAAAAAUCAGACCCCCCAAAUUUAAAGACCUGAUCCAAAAGUGGGCAUCUGAAAUGAAAAGAUACAUCUCAGAUGAAGAAGGAGAAAUGGCCGAUAAAUAUAUGAAAAAAUAUUCAACAUCACUGGUCAUUCAAGAGAUGCAAAUGAAAAAAGGCUGAGAUUCCACUCUAGAAAGAUUUCACUCCAGAAAGAAUGGCUGCAAUCAAGAAAUCACGAAUAACAAAUGCUGGAGGGGCUUUGGGGGAAAAGAAACCCUUCUCCACUGCUGAUGGGAGUGUAGACUGGUGCAACCACUGUGGAAAUCAGUGUGGAGAUUCCUCAAAAAACUAAAACUAGAGGUUCCAUUCACCCAGCUAUUUCCCUUCUUGGUAUCUUCCCAAAAGAAUUAAAAGCAUCAUACCACAGUGAUAGAUGCAGACCCAUGUUUAUAGUGGCACAGUUUGUAAUAGCUAAGUCUUGGAAGCAGCCCAAAUGCCCCUCAAUCAAUGAGUGGAUAAAGAAGUUGUGGAUUUUUUCUACAAUGGAGUACUACUCUGCCAUAAAGAAGGAUGAGCUUCAGACAUUUAUAGCUAAAUGUUUUGUUUUGUUUUUGGUACCGGGGCUCAAACUCAGGACCUUACACUUGCAAAGCAAGUGUAGUGCCACUGAGCUAAAUCCCCAACCCCAUUUAUGGCUAAAUGGGUGGACCUUGAGACCAUACUCUUAAGUGAAGUAAAUUGGACACACAUGUUUAAGUACUGCAUUGUUUCUCUGGUGUGAGAAACUGAAAGUGGAAAUAGGGACUAAAAUGUAUAAUAGAUAUUGGGAUAUGGGGAGAAAAUGUUCAAAUGAGAAAAGGAAUAAGGGAGGGAGAAGGGAGAAAGGAAAGAAGGGACAAGAAAAAAUGAAAGUAGAAGGAAAAAAUGGAAUCAAAGCUUUUGUAUGUGAGGAGAGAAAGAGAGGUUGAGCGGGGGGAAAGGGAAAACAGAAGAAGCAAGAUAUAUCAUGUACAGAUAAAAAUUCCCUAUGAUAAAUGUUAUCACUAUGUAGAUCUGUCCUGAGACUGUGUCCUCCAGAAAGAAUUCAGUUGUCUUGGACCCUGUCUGCCAGAACCUUGUUACCAGGAAGUGACUCACACAUAUCAUGGGAAAGAGGACCAGAGGUGCACACCCUGUCCCAGAGGGACUGGCUCAGGUUAUAGUACCUGCUCUUCAGGGCCCCUUAGUUCUCUCCUCACAAUCACUUCCUGUCUCCUAAGGGUCCUACAUCUACCUCUCCUCUCUAUAAAGGGAGCAAAUAAGGUUUUAAUUUCCAUGGGUCAGCCCAGCAUAGCAGUGAAUGCCUUUAAUCCCAGCACCCUGGGAGGCUGAGGCAGGAGGAUUUCUACUUGGAGUCCACCCUGAGUAAUUUAACAGGACCUUGAGGAGAUACCUCAGUGUGAGGCCUUGAGUUCAAUCCUCGGGAUUGAAAACAAAUUUUUCCACUGGGUUGUGGGGGUACCUGUUUUUUCUUGUGAUGCUCCUGUGCACAUAAUGAAUUUGUAAAUUAUUUUGUCUGCCCUGUCUAAUGUUAGUUGUUUUUUUUUGUUUUGUUUUGUUUGCUUUAUGACUGCUGGAGUUUGACCCUAAGCAUGCUCAGCAUAGGCUUUACUGAUGACACUGCCUGCCCUCGGAUGCCUGUUACUUCAUAGAUUUAGUAUCUCCGGGCUUUGGAAAGCUCCUUUCACCCCUCACACCCAAAGUCCAAAUCGAAGCCCUUUCUGCCU